GAUGAACGCUGGCGGCGCGCCUAACACAUGCAAGUCGAACGGCACCCACCUCCGGGUGGAAGCGAGUGGCGAACGGCUGAGUAACACGUGGAGAACCUGCCCCCUCCCCCCGGGAUAGCCGCCCGAAAGGACGGGUAAUACCGGAUACCCCGGGGUGCCGCAUGGCGCCCCGGCUAAAGCCCCGACGGGAGGGGGAUGGCUCCGCGGCCCAUCAGGUAGACGGCGGGGUGACGGCCCACCGUGCCGACAACGGGUAGCCGGGUUGAGAGGGUGACCGGCCACAUUGGGACUGAGACACGGCCCAA
rnacentral:rRNA from 1 species